UUACAAUACACUAAAUACUUUUGGUGUUCAAUGCUAUACCCUCUAAAAACAAAAUCUUCAUUUAUUUGAAGACACAAUUCUCUGUACGGGCACUUGCCAUGACUUUAUUUUUGAAUAUUUCUGUGUUCAUGUGGUAGGGAAAACAUUGUUGUAUACUACAAAUUCCCUGUUUUGCUUUUAGGUUGGAGACUACAUAAGACUUUGACAGUUGGCGGGAAACCAUCAUCAACUGGAGAGAUGCCGGAAGAGGAAUGUCUGCGACUAAGUCAAGGGCCACUGGAUAAGGGUUGUUGAUGGCAAAACAGGUUGGAGACUACAUAAGACUUUGACAGUUGGCGGGAAACCAUCAUCAACUGGAGAGAUGCCGGAAGAGGAAUGUCUGCGACUAAGUCAAGGGCCACUGGAUAAGGGUUGUUGAUGGCAAAACAGGUUGGAGACUACAUAAGACUUUGACAGUUGGCGGGAAACCAUCAUCAACUGGAGAGAUGCCGGAAGAGGAAUGUCUGCGACUAAGUCAAGGGCCACUGGAUAAGGGUUGUUGAUGGCAAAACAGGUUGGAGACUACAUAAGACUUUGACAGUUGGCGGGAAACCAUCAUCAACUGGAGAGAUGCCGGAAGAGGAAUGUCUGCGACUAAGUCAAGGGCCACUGGAUAAGGGUUGUUGAUGGCAAAACAGGUUGGAGACUACAUAAGACUUUGACAGUUGGCGGGAAACCAUCAUCAACUGGAGAGAUGCCGGAAGAGGAAUGUCUGCGACUAAGUCAAGGGCCACUGGAUAAGGGUUGUUGAUGGCAAAACAGGUUGGAGACUACAUAAGACUUUGACAGUUGGCGGGAAACCAUCAUCAACUGGAGAGAUGCCGGAAGAGGAAUGUCUGCGACUAAGUCAAGGGCCACUGGAUAAGGGUUGUUGAUGGCAAAACAGGUUGGAGACUACAUAAGACUUUGACAGUUGGCGGGAAACCAUCAUCAACUGGAGAGAUGCCGGAAGAGGAAUGUCUGCGACUAAGUCAAGGGCCACUGGAUAAGGGUUGUUGAUGGCAAAACAGGUUGGAGACUACAUAAGACUUUGACAGUUGGCGGGAAACCAUCAUCAACUGGAGAGAUGCCGGAAGAGGAAUGUCUGCGACUAAGUCAAGGGCCACUGGAUAAGGGUUGUUGAUGGCAAAACAGGUUGGAGACUACAUAAGACUUUGACAGUUGGCGGGAAACCAUCAUCAACUGGAGAGAUGCCGGUAAAAAGAUGGCCAUAAAACAGUGACCGCUGAUUUGCAUUGAGUUCUUUCUUACAUAUUGGAUGACCUAUGUUUUUUAUUGUUUAAAUCAUUGCGGCUUGGAAUGCUCUUUAAGAAAAGGUAUGGUUAUGGGGGUGUCUACGCGCAAAAGUUUGACUUUAUUUUUUGUUAAAGUUAUUGCUUUUACAUUGAAUUUGUGCAGGAAAUCUUUUGGUAUGUUGUGACCU